rnacentral:lncRNA from 1 species
GAGGCAUAGUGACAUUGCCUUCUCUCUCACCCUACUCUAAUAAGGUUUUGAUAUCUAGAACUCAUAGGUGGGAGACAGCUAAUACAUACUUACAAGACAUUUAUUGCAUAGUCAAACCAUGGAUCCAAAAGAACAAGUCAAUAAGUCAAAUCAAGAUGUGCAUGUGUGGCGAAUGAAUGGUGUAUGGUGAUGAUGGUGAUAACAAUGGUGAAAGUCUAAUUCUACUUUUGCUCUUCUGAGGGGAUAC